rnacentral:rRNA from 1 species
UACGAAGGGUGCAAACGUUGCUCGGAAUCAUUGGGCGUAAAGCGCACGUAGGCGGCUUCAAAAGUCGGAUGUGAAAUCCCACGGCUCAACCGUGGACGUGCAUUCGAAACUGCGAAGCUUGAGUAUGGAAGAGGGUCGCGGAAUUCCCGGUGUAGAGGUGAAAUUCGUAGAUAUCGGGAGGAACACCAGUGGCGAAGGCGGCGACCUGGGCCAAUACUGACGCUGAGGUGCGAAAGCGUGGGGAGCAAACAGG